rnacentral:rRNA from 1 species
CAGUCGAGCGGACAGAUGGGAGCUUGCUCCCUGAUGUUAGCGGCGGACGGGUGAGUAACACGUGGGUAACCUGCCUGUAAGACUGGGAUAACUCCGGGAAACCGGGGCUAAUACCGGAUGCUUGAUUGAACCGCAUGGUUCAAUUAUAAAAGGUGGCUUUUACCUACCACUUACAGAUGGACCCGCGGCGCAUUACCUAGUUGGUGAGGUAACGGCUCACCAAGGCAACGAUGCGUACCCAACCUGAAAGGGUGAUCGGCCACACUGGGACUGAAACACGGCCCAAACUCCUACGGGAGGCAGCAGUAGGGAAUCUUCCGCAAUGGACAAAAGUCUGACGGAGCAACGCCCCGGGAGUGAUGAAGGUUUUCGGAUCGUAAAACUCUGUUGUUAGGGAAAAACAAGUACCGUUCGAAUAGGGCGGUACCUUGACGGUACCUAACCAAAAAGCCACGGCUAACUACUUGCCACCAGCCGCGGUAAUACGUAGGUGGCAAGCGUUGUCCGGAAUUAUUGGGCGUAAAGCGCGCGCAGGCGGUUUCUUAAGUCUGAUGUGAAAGCCCCCGGCUCAACCGGGGAGGGUCAUUGGAAACUGGGGAACUUGAGUGCAGAAGAGGAGAGUGGAAUUUCCACGUGUAGCGGUGAAAUGCGUAGAGAUGUGGAGGAACACCAGUGGCGAAGGCGACUCUCUGGUCUGUAACUGACGCUGAGGCGCGAAAGCGUGGGGAGCGAACAGGAUUAGAUACCCUGGUAGUCCACGCCGUAAACGAUGAGUGCUAAGUGUUAGAGGGUUUCCGCCCUUUAGUGCUGCAGCAAACGCAUUAAGCACUCCGCCUGGGGAGUACGGUCGCAAGACUGAAACUCAAAGGAAUUGACGGGGGCCCGCACAAGCGGUGGAGCAUGUGGUUUAAUUCGAAGCAACGCGAAGAACCUUACCAGGUCUUGACAUCCUCUGACAACCCUAGAGAUAGGGCUUCCCCUUCGGGGGCAGAGUGACAGGUGGUGCAUGGUUGUCGUCAGCUCGUGUCGUGAGAUGUUGGGUUAAGUCCCGCAACGAGCGCAACCCUUGAUCUUAGUUGCCAGCAUUCAGUUGGGCACUCUAAGGUGACUGCCGGUGACAAACCGGAGGAAGGUGGGGAUGACGUCAAAUCAUCAUGCCCCUUAUGACCUGGGCUACACACGUGCUACAAUGGGCAGAACAAAGGGCAGCGAAGCCGCGAGGCUAA